GUGUUGUGAUGGCUCCCUCUGAUGGCAGUCGCUGGAUGCUUCAUCCACGUGUAGUGGUUUUCUUUCCUCUGCACACCUCUCAGUACAUACUCCAGCUGGGACAAUCUUUUCAGAUGAACACCCUGUUUUUAUCCCAGUCUGAUAAAUUUUUCUUGAAAAGAGGUCAAACAGGAAAGCAAACCUUCCUCUGCCUGUCUCAGUGCAAUCAUGAAGAUCACGCAAGAUAGUCCCUGUUGGAGUGUGUGUGCUUCAGCAGUGCAGAGCAUUCAAAGGCCAUCAAGCUCCAGAUGAUCCUCAGUGAGGGAUACCGCUCUCUCAGUAUUCAAGAGUCACCCUUCCACAGAGAAGCCCUAGACUGCCCAUCAGUGGAAUAUGAGAGAGCCUGCACCAGAUGCAACUCCUAUAGAAGAGGGAAAUCCUGAACUGACUGAGCGAACUCUCAGAAUUGACCAUGAUUCACAUUUUUACCCUUGACGGAAAAAGGAUUCAAGGAACACAUUACAUUUCUGUUUUAGAAAAAUAAAGUUGUAUUUUUGCAUACCUGAA
rnacentral:lncRNA from 1 species